rnacentral:rRNA from 1 species
GACGAACGCUGGCGGCGUGCCUAAUACAUGCAAGUUGAGCGAUGAAGAUUGGUGCUUGCACCAAUUUGCAGAGCAGCGAACGGGUGAGUAACGCGUGGGGAAUCUGCCUUUGAGCGGGGGACAACAUUUGGAAACGAAUGCUAAUACCGCAUAACAACUUUAAACAUAAGUUUUAAGUUUGAAAGAUGCAAUUGCAUCACUCAAAGAUGAUCCCGCGUUGUAUUAGCUAGUUGGUGAGGUAAAGGCUCACCAAGGCGAUGAUACAUAGCCGACCUGAGAGGGUGGUCGGCCACAUUGGGACUGAGACACGGCCCAAACUCCUACGGGAGGCAGCAGUAGGGAAUCUUCGGCAAUGGACGAAAGUCUGACCGAGCAACGCCGCGUGAGUGAAGAAGGUUUUCGGAUCGUAAAACUCUGUUGGUAGAGAAGAACGUUGGUGAGAGUGGAAAGCUCAUCAAGUGACGGUAACUACCCAGAAAGGGGCGGCUAACUACGUG